CUAGCUAAACUGAUAUGCUAAUUAAAGUAAUAUGGUUCUGCUAACUUUUCUAUGUGCUAAUGUAAUUAAUCUUCCAAAGGGAAGUAUGAAAGAAACAAAAGAAUAAACUAUAAAGAGGAAAGGCAUAUGAUCCAGAGCCUUCUAAGGCGUGAACAUGACAGUUGCCGGUUCUACCGCCACAUUGCCUAGCUAGCCAUGAACAACUACUAAUUCCAAUUAUUAUUCAUGCCCGAUGUUGAAGUUCAAGAUGCACCUCUAUUUAUGUCCGACCAAUUCCAGGGUGAGGGAUUUUCCUACCAGUUCAAUAUGUCCAAAGUGAAGAAAGAAAAGAGAAGUGAGAAAUGCGCAAACGUACACUUUCAAUUGCCAUGGUCUGCUGAAUUGAUUAAUUUGUUGGAAGGUCAACCAAUGUUAAUUAUUGUUAUCGACCUUCUUGCUAUCGUUUUAGUGGCUCUUAAUAUUGGUGAUCUAUAGAGAAGUCCACCCUAUAUGGAGAGUAUGGAGCAUACAGAGCUAUAGAGAAAACAAAUGCUACUGCAAUUUCUUGGGCUAGCUUGCCUCCUGAAACCUGAAUUGCUUUGAGAUAUGAUUGAAGGAUUUGGCUUUCCCAAUGGUCUUUGGUUGGUUAUUCAGUACUCUUGGAUUUAUUAGUUAUGUUUCCUCAACACAAACAUUAGAUUACUAUAGUGAACUGCGACAUACUCACAGUUCAGGUAAGAAAUUGAUAUUUAUUUUGUAUCUGUUAAUACACGUGUUGUAGCUAUUUGAGUUUGAGUGGUUUGGAUAGAUGGAACGGUAGGUUUUCAUUGUUGUAGUAGAUAUUUGAGUUUGAGUGU